rnacentral:rRNA from 1 species
AUUGAACGCUAGCGGGAUGCCUUACACAUGCAAGUCGAACGGCAGCGCGGACUUCGGUCUGGCGGCGAGUGGCGAACGGGUGAGUAAUGUAUCGGAACGUGCCCAGUAGCGGGGGAUAACUACUCGAAAGAGUAGCUAAUACCGCAUACGCCCUACGGGGGAAAGGGGGGGAUCGCAAGACCUCUCACUAUUGGAGCGGCCGAUAUCGGAUUAGCUAGUUGGUGAGGUAAAGGCUCACCAAGGCGACGAUCCGUAGCUGGUUUGAGUGGACGACCAGCCACACUGGGACUGAGACACGGCCCAGACUCCUACGGGAGGCAGCAGUGGGGAAUUUUGGACAAUGGGGGAAACCCUGAUCCAGCCAUUCCGCGUGAGCGAUGAAGGCCUUCGGGUUGUAAAGCACUUUUGGCAGGAAAGAAAUCGCAUCAAUUAAUACUUGGUGUGGAUGACGGUACCUGCAGAAUAAGCACCGGCUAACUACGUGCCAGCAGCCGCCGUAA